rnacentral:rRNA from 1 species
CAGUAGCCGCGGUAAUACGGAGGGUGCAAGCGUUAAUCGGAAUUACUGGGCGUAAAGCGCACGCAGGCGGUUUGUUAAGUCAGAUGUGAAAUCCCCGAGCUUAACUUGGGAACUGCAUUUGAAACUGGCAAGCUAGAGUCUUGUAGAGGGGGGUAGAAUUCCAGGUGUAGCGGUGAAAUGCGUAGAGAUCUGGAGGAAUACCGGUGGCGAGGGCGGCCCCCUGGACAAAGACUGACGCUCAGGUGCGAAAGCGUGGGGAGCAAACAGGAUUAGAUACCCCUGUAGUCCCUGUCUCUUAUAC